rnacentral:rRNA from 1 species
UUGGAGGGCAAGUCUGGUGCCAGCAGCCGCGGUAAUUCCAGCUCCAAUAGCGUAUAUUAAAGUUGUUGCAGUUAAAAAGCUCGUAGUUGAAUUUCGGGGUUAGUAGGUUGGUCAUGCCUCUGGUAUGUACUGGUCUCACUGAUUCCUCCUUCCUGAUGAGCCGUAAUGCCAUUAAUUUGGUGUUGCGGGGAAUUUGGACUGUUACUUUGAAAAAAUUAGAGUGUUUAAAGCAAGCUAACGCUUGAAUACAUUAGCAUGGAAUAAUGAAAUAGGACGUUCGAUCCUAUUUUGUUGGUUUCUAGGAUUGACGUAAUGAUUAAUAGGGAUAGUUGGGGGCGUUAGUAUUCAAUUGUCAGAGGUGAAAUUCUUGGAUUGAUUGAAGACUAACUACUGCGAAAGCAUUUGCCAAGGAUGUUUUCAUUAAUCAAGAACGAAAGUUAGGGGAUCGAAGACGAUCAGAUACCGUCGUAGUCUUAACCAUAAACUAUGCCGACUAGGGAUCGGAUGAUAUUAAUUUUUUAAUGACUCAUUCGGCGCCUUACGGGAAACCAAAGUGUUUGGGUUC